rnacentral:rRNA from 1 species
AAGUCGAACGGCAGCGCGGGCUUCGGCCUGGCGGCGAGUGGCGAACGGGUGAGUAAUAUAUCGGAACGUGCCCAAGAGUGGGGGAUAACGUAGCGAAAGUUACGCUAAUACCGCAUACGAUCCAAGGAUGAAAGCAGGGGACCGCAAGGCCUUGUGCUCCUGGAGCGGCCGAUAUCUGAUUAGCUAGUUGGUGAGGUAAAGGCUCACCAAGGCGACGAUCAGUAGCUGGUCUGAGAGGACGACCAGCCACACUGGAACUGAGACACGGUCCAGACUCCUACGGGAGGCAGCAGUGGGGAAUUUUGGACAAUGGGGGCAACCCUGAUCCAGCAAUGCCGCGUGAGUGAAGAAGGCCUUCGGGUUGUAAAGCUCUUUUGUCAGGGAAGAAAAGGGUACGGCUAAUAUCCGUGCCUCAUGACGGUACCUGAAGAAUAAGCACCGGCUAACUACGUGCCAGCAGCCGCGGUAAUACGUAGGGUGCAAGCGUUAAUCGGAAUUACUGGGCGUAAAGCGUGCGCAGGCGGUUUUGUAAGUCUGUCGUGAAAUCCCCGGGCUUAACCUGGGAAUGGCGAUGGAGACUGCAAGGCUAGAGUUUGGCAGAGGGGGGUAGAAUUCCACGUGUAGCAGUGAAAUGCGUAGAGAUGUGGAGGAACACCGAUG